rnacentral:ncRNA from 2 species
AUGACGGUCGGCGGGCUCGGUGUUCAUGGGGUGUAGAACCCCCGAACUCAAUCGGGAAUGGGGAAGGGUGGACCCAAUUGCGGCACCCGAAGCCCCAGCCGCCCCCGCGACUGUAUGCGGUAGCGUCCCUUCAUUCUGCCACUGGGCCAAAUUGCCCGGGAAGGCGAAGGGCCGUGUGACCCCGCGAGCCAGGAGACCGGCCGGACCAAAACGUAACAA